rnacentral:rRNA from 1 species
AUUGAACGCUGGCGGCAGGCUUAACACAUGCAAGUCGAGCAGAGUGAUGGUGCUUGCACUAUCACUUAGCGGCGGACGGGUGAGUAAUGCUUAGGAAUCUGCCUAUUAGUGGGGGACAACAUCUCGAAAGGGAUGCUAAUACCGCAUACGUCCUACGGGAGAAAGCAGGGGAUCACUUGUGACCUUGCGCUAAUAGAUGAGCCUAGGUCGGAUUAGCUAGUUGGUGGGGUAAAGGCCUACCAAGGCGACGAUCUGUAGCGGGUCUGAGAGGAGGAUCCGCCACACUGGGACUGAGACACGGCCCAGACUCCUACGGGAGGCAGCAGUGGGGAAUAUUGGACAAAUGGGGGAACACUGAUCCAGCCAUGCCGCGUGUGUGAAGAAGGCCUUAUGGUUGUAAAGCACUUUAAGCGAGGAGGAGGCUCUUUUGGUUAAUACCCAAGAUGAGUGGACGUUACUCGCAGAAUAAGCACCGGCUAACUCUGUGCCAGCCGCCGCGGUAA